rnacentral:rRNA from 1 species
UACGUAGGAGGCAAGCGUUGUCCGGAAUUACUGGGCGUAAAGCGCGUGUAGGCGGUCUGAAUAGUCUGCUGUGAAAGCGCCUGGCUUAACCGGGCGAGGUCGGCGGAAACUCUCAGACUGGAGGCCGGUAGAGGGGGGUGGAAUUCCCGGUGUAGCGGUGAAAUGCGUAGAUAUCUGGAGGAACACCGGUGGCGAAGGCGACAUCCUGGACCGGUAUUGACGCUGAGGCGCGAAAGCCAGGGGAGCAAACGGG